rnacentral:lncRNA from 1 species
CUUCAGCACCGCGGACAGCGCCAGCGGCUCGGGACAGCGCGAGGAGAGAUGCCUAAGAGACACCCUCCCCAGCCCCACCCAUGCCCUCUUUCCCCCGACCGGGGGAAGUGUGCUAGAACCUCUUCUGAGUUCCAGGCCAUUAUAGGAUGCUUUUCCAUAUUUGGGAAGGAAAUUCCUCUUUCAGAAUUUGGCCAAAACCUCUCCUGCAGUAAUUCUAUGAAUCUCUCUCCCUGCACCUGGAAGGUUUCUUCCCUAUCACUCAGUUAAGCAAACAGAGGCUUUUAAGGAUACAGACUCACAAAUUCUUAAAAUCCAAAACAAGAUCCCAUGCUUCCUUUUAAGAAAUUCAGGCCUGAUUCCUACUCUCCUCCCAGCUUAAGGCCUUCUUUAGAAUGAAAGAAUAAAUUGCAUCUGCUUCUCCCGUUCCCAGCCUGUCCACCCAUCUGCCCAUUCUCUGUGAGUGGGUGUCUGAGCCUCUGCUCACCUUUUCCUCUACAGGCUGUCUAUUUGACCGCAGGCUCUGCUCUCACCUGGAAGUCUGUAUUCAGGAUGGCUUGUUUGGGCAGUGCCAGGUGGGAG